UGAUUGCAGUUAUGAGAGAUUAUAAUUUCACAAAGUCAUCUGAAGUCAUUCCAUAGGCCAUAGCUUAAUCUGAGGGACAGAAUUAUAUUUAGAUAAUUAAAUUACAGUUUACGGAAACUCCUCUUCCCUCUCCCUGCGGCUGUCAAUCAUUCUCCAUUUUAUUUUCAAACCGCGCGCCUCGUCCGUUACAGCAGGAUCGAGCAGGAUACACGCUUCAGGGAAGCAGCCACCAAUCAGCUGUUCCUGCUGUGCAAAUUAUUUGGAAUCUCCUGCCAGUGAUCAUUGCUUGUGGAUAAUGAGGUUGAAGAACUGGAGCGGACAACCAUGGCGAUCUUUAUCACUGGGAAAGAGGAUCCUCUCCAUCCACCUAAAGACAUUAAAAUUGUUGUCGAAGGAAAAGAGGUCCUGAACGAGUUGCCAUCGGUUGCUGGGCUCAUAUAUACACUAAACCUAAAAUAUCCAAAAAGGCUACAGUUCACCUUUGAAUUUGUGCAAAAGGUCCUGAUGGAGCUUGAUGGAAUAAAGAUGACCCCAAAAGCUAUACAGCUAUACUCAGCUAUACAGGGAUUAAUUGUAUAAUUGCAUAAUUGUUACAUUUUAUUGUGUUUUUACAGCCAAGACUUUAGAUCCUUUUAAUAAAAAGGUUGUACUAACAAGGCUGCAUUUUCACUGCAGCAUUUACAAAUGUGGCUGCCCAAGUUCGAUGGCUACCAGGUACAAAGGUUGAAUAAGGCCAAGUCUUAUGAACAACUGAAGAGACUGAUUGCAGUGUUUCAAGUAUUUCUGCUGUCAAUCUUCAUACAUUUGAAGCAAAUGUUCAAUGUUGUGAGUUUAUUGAACAAUAAAUGUGUUCUAAAGGAAAA